CAAAAUCUAUUUUCAUUGGAAAAAAAGAAAGUGAUUCAUUGAAAUAGUUUGUUGAAGUGUGAUGCUCUAAUGAAAAAGUUGUAAAAAGUCCAUCAUAAUUUCUCAGUGUACAGUAGAGAUUGUUCAACGUUGGGAAAGGAGAUCCAAGGCCAAAAUACUUCAAACUGCUUUGUUUAUGGGUACAUUGUAUAAUACAGAGUACUAGAUGAACUAAAGAAUUCUCUUUUCCCUCACAGACAGCACUUGAACCCUUCUGGUGGGACAGGAGAAAAGGAGAAAACUCAGGACAGAUGAGGCGAAAGAGCAUCUUUCCCUUUAAGGCUAACUGUGAUACCUUCAGAAGGAAGAACACUUUUUAGGAAAGGAUAAUGUCAUAGAUUUUAAUCAAAUGCCUGAAUCAUGAUUUUGAGUAAAUCUCUGUGCCUCAGUCAUUCCUGUCGGAGAUACUACACUUCACAUGGAUAGCUGCAUUAUCUGUUUGGAGAGAGCAUAAGGGAAGAUGACUUAAUAGUCCAGAAAAGGGAAAACCUGCUGGGUAUGUGGGUGUGUGAGUUUCAGAUCCAUGAACUGACAUAUGCAAAGCAAGAACGUCAUGGUUGGAUUUUUACCCCCACAUGGCUGCCUGAAACUCUUUUAAGCAGGCACUUUCCUCUAGGGACCUGCUUUUCAGUUAGAGGAAAUGAACCAUGCCCGUUGCAGCAGAGAAAUUGCAGAGUGAAAAGGGAUAUGUUCCCUGGACAGAGAUGUGGCUUUUGCUGGCAGUGCUUUACUGUGUUACAUGCCUCAUGA
rnacentral:lncRNA from 12 species